rnacentral:rRNA from 1 species
UACGGAGGGUGCGAGCGUUGUCCGGAGUCACUGGGCGUAAAGGGCGCGUAGGUGGCGCGGGCAGUCAACGGUGAAAGUUCGGGGCUCAACCCUGAAUCGGCCGUCGAUACUCCCGGGCUUGAGCACUGUAGAGGCAGAUGGAAUUCCGGGUGUAGCGGUGGAAUGCGUAGAGAUCCGGAAGAACACCGGUGGCGAAGGCGGUCUGCUGGGCAGUAGCUGACACUGAGGCGCGACAGCGUGGGGAGCAAACAGG